rnacentral:rRNA from 1 species
AUUGAACGCUGGCGGCAGGCUUAACACAUGCAAGUCGAACGAGUGGCGGACGGGUGAGUAAUGUGUGGGAAACUGGCUGAUGGAGGGGGAUAACUACGGGAAACGGUAGCUAAUACCGCGUACCAUAGGAUGAGCCCAAGUGGGAUUAGGUAGUGGGUGUGGUAAAGGCUCACCAAGCCGACGAUCUCUAGCUGGUCUGAGAGGAUGACCAGCCACCCUGGGACUGAGACACGGCCCAGACUCCUACGGGAGGCAGCAGUGGGUAAUAUUGCGCAAUGGGCGCAACCCUGACGCAGCCAUGCCGCGUGUAUGAAGAAGGCCUUCGGGUUGUAAAGUUCUUUCGGUGGCGAGGCGUUACCUGCAGAAGAAGCACCGGCUAACUCCGUGCCAGCAGCCGCGGUAAUUC